AAAUCAAGAAUAGUCGAAACGAUUUACCGAGAGAGUUUUCUUGAUCAAAAACAAAUUGAAUCAACAUCAUUGAUCGGAUUAAUCCGAUAAUCUCUGAGGCAAUGAUCUUUUCAGUUCGGAAUCCCAGUAAAGGCUCCAUCAGCAGAUUUAUCCGAAAAUCUGUCUUUUUUUAAUUCUCCGAUUACACAAAAUUGAUCGGAAUUAUCCGAUAAUCUGUCUUUUUGUAAUUUUCAGAUUUCGACAUCAAUGGAUAAGUAAGAUUAGGUGUGGAUUCCAAACGUAUUCGAUCGAAUAUGGGUCUUCUUUACCAGGAAAACAAAUAAAAGAAGCCUAAAUGAAAGAUAAGGAUCCGGAACCCCUUUAAAUUCUGUCUUUACAUCUACUCUGUUGAAUCUGAAACUCUAAUGUUAACCAUUUACUUUUGACAGGGUUUAAUUUCUUCGAAUUAGGCGCUCAUUGGAAUUGCAUAAAUUGGAUUGAAGAAGGACUAUGAACAUACUAGUGUAUUGAAAGCAAAUCAAUGGUUAAACUACCUUAUAAAAUCUGAAGUGGAGCAAAAUACAAAUCUCUACACAAUCCUAAUAUAAUGGGCGUGAAUUUAGUUGUGGAUUAAGGUGGGAAAGAGAUCAAUUUCGGAUCUACAAUAUGACAGAUUAGUUUCUUUACUACAAUAUGAAAGAUUAUUUUAUUAACAAAACAUAG